UGUUAUUCUGUAUAUUUAUUGAUAAUAAGACCACUGAUGGUGACUUAGUCGAUAGUAGACGGCAUGGUGCAGUUCUUCUUCGGGUGUCUAGUGACCCCAUGUGUAAGCAGGAUGGUAUUACAAUUUAGUAUUUACAGGAAAAUAUCAGUUCAGAGAAAGGUAAAGUAAGUUUAAGGGUGCUGGAAAACAUACAUUCACUAAAUAAAUAUACAGUUUCAAAAGCAACAAGCUUUGAAAAGCCACAACCAAAUACUGACCAAAACCGAAUAACAACAGGAUCCACAGAGUCUAGACGCUCGCACUCUCUCGCUUACACGCACGCUCAAAGUUACAGAGAUAGUCAGCUACAGAGGAACAAAGUCUCACACGCACACGCAUACCGAAAGAGAGAUAAAAAACCACUUGGUGAAAGUGUAAACUGAAUGCCAACCGAACUCUAAUAAAUACACAGCUAAACUGCGCGUUACUCUCAACGAAACAUCGGCCACGAUUCUUUUUUUCAGUGCGGGGUCUUCCUAUAAACUAUUAAACAAAUACAGCACAAAGUGUGGAUUCAAAACUGUGACACAACAUUUAUACUGAUUAGCAUAUUAGAAUGAGAAACGGUAUGUCAUAUAAAUUACAUUUCCGAUACAUAUCUACAGCUGAUGAUGACGAUGAUUAAGCAUGUUGCAUGGCACCACACACAAUACAGUAGAUGAACACGUGUCUUCUUGCUAAAUCUGGCAUCCUUUGCCGUAGCAGACCGCUGACGUUAGCUCAAACCAGCAGAAAACAAUUGGCGACCCUAAUGAUUCGACAUGACACUAGCAAGCUGUAAAGCGCUGCUCUGCGAGCUCUUAACCACUAGAACGAAGCAAAAAGUAAGACGGGUCUCUUUAAAGCUAAAAUCUGCCAGUAAUUUCUACAUUUUCUACAUAUAAUAACACGAACACGAGUACUAAAACAUCACUAAAGUGUCAGUAUGCGUCAUAUAAGUGCUUGUUUCCCCUUGCAGACAACUUUCAUCCUGUUUUCCAUCUGUUCUCUAUAUCAGCAACACUCUAAAUGUGCUUGCAGAGACUGUGUAAAAGUCAGGGCCUUUUUUCUGUAUUUAAUUCAUUAUCAGGUUUACAAGUAUGACCCUCAAAAAACCCCAGCUGAAGCACAUGUGGCCUUUGAUUGCUCCUCAAAGGAAGCUGAAGAGCAGUAACCUUAACGAUUACUAAUUACUAGAGGUCUAAUUCAGAGCCUGAAAAAACCCGGUCACACCAGUAUUGAAGCAAAAUCAGUACAUUUAAAUGAACUUGCAGUAGUGAAAAGAUGUUUAGGUGACGUUUGCAUGUUUUUCUGUUUUGGUUUUUUUAAAUUUUAAACUGGAUAGUCCAAUUUUUUUCUUUAAUAUUUAUUUUAACCCUCAUCUACCAACCAAAAAAUGUAGAUACAGUUAUCAGACAGCUUUCAAUGGUAUAAUCUGUGUUUUGUAGAAACUGAUUGAGUUAGCAUCUACACUAAUCUAAGGAGCUUGGAAAGACAAGCGUCUGGACUUCUUUAAGUUUCCUGGAAGACGUUUCACCUCUCAUCCGAGAAGCUUCUUCACUUUUAAGAGCAACUAGUGAAGUCCUAUGGGAAUGUCCCCAAGAAGGUCAUGGAACCUCUAUUGAUCCUCUACCUAAUCACACGAGCCAAGGUGUGAAAACAGGUGUGGACCAAGGUUUCAGGUGAACCCACUGUGAAACCUAGCCCCACCCUAUCAUGUGAUUUCCUGAGGUCAAAAAGCCCAGGAUGUGAGUGGGCAUUAAGGCGUCUGGGAAGGGAUCUCAAAACUGGAUUAUAGACAGUUGGUGUCGUAAACCACCACCUCUGUUCAACGCUGGUUGUUCACAGUGGACAUAGAUGGCUUCCUUAAAUCCUCUUUCAAACCGCCUGUCUUCUCUGUCCGACAUGGGAACACUGGCAUCCUUGAAAGAGUGUCCUUUUCUUUUAGAUGCAGAGAUGCUAUCUACACUAAUAUGCUAAUUGGCAAUUGGUGUGACCAGGCCUUUUAGACUGACCUCAAAGGUGUGACUCGCUGAACGGACUGCAUUUCAUUCCAUGUAAAACUAAUGACAGACUGUAAAAUGUGCGCAAAGUUGACUGUUAUUUUGUAGUUUGGUAUUUGUAUCCCACACUAAAGUUUCCAAAUACCAUUAAACCUGUGCCAUUCAUAUUUAAACUACCUAAAUACAUUAUUUUAGACAAGAAAAAUAUAUCAUGCUUUGUCUUAAGGUUAAAAAUAAUCUUUCCCCUUCUUUUUCGGCUUCCUCACUUUUCAUAUAAACCUAAAACAUACUCCUCAGUGCAUGUAAUCAAUUCACAAAGUGUCACAACCAAAGGAUACACAAGGAUGAGCGACAGCAAAGUCAAAUGCAACAACUGAAUCUACCUAGUAAAAGGAUUGCUCUCAAGCUUUAGCAAAGUCAUUUAGUACAAACAUGUGCAGUGUUUUUUUUAAGCAUGCUGCAGCCAACUGAGAAACCAAGUUUGAGCCCGCUCAUCUACCCGAGACCAACACCGCUGUCCACUCAAGACAACUCUGGUCUACCUGCUUGCCGUGGGCCGUCCUGAUCUGAGAUACGUGCCGGUGAGCAACUUCUACAUCGAGCCGCGAUGGAACGUGUGGUAUAGAAAGCUGUGGUGCAAGUGAGUCAUGGAAUGGUGCUUUACAGUAAGAUACAUUAAGAUAUUACAUUAAGAUCACAGGCAGAGAGAUGGAGGGACGUAAAUUCCAAUUCGGAUGUUGGGUAGAGUUUCAGGAAUUUACUCUGGUCGUGUGUCAAGAGUCUUCGUCUCUAAUUCUCUUCGACUCCCUCUCUGAAAGAUAAAGAAGAGUUCACGUUGUAGAAUAGAGAGAAC
ensembl:lncRNA